GAUGAACGCUGGCGGCGUGCUUAACACAUGCAAGUCGAACGGAAAGGCCCAAGCUUGCUUGGGUACUCGAGUGGCGAACGGGUGAGUAACACGUGGGUGAUCUGCCCUGCACUUCGGGAUAAGCCUGGGAAACUGGGUCUAAUACCGGAUAGGACCACAUUUUGGAUGGUGUGGUGGAAAGUUUGUCGGUGUGGGAUGAGCUCGCGGCCUAUCAGCUUGUUGGUGGGGUAAUGGCCUACCAAGGCGUCGACGGGUAGCCGGCCUGAGAGGGUGUACGGCCACAUUGGGACUGAGAGACGGCCCAGACUCCUACGGGAGGCAGCAGUGGGGAAUAUUGCACAAUGGGCGCAAGCCUGAUGCAGCGACGCCGCGUGGGGGAUGACGGCCUUCGGGUUGUAAACUCCUUUCGCUAGGGACGAAGCGCAAGUGACGGUACCUGGAGAAGAAGCACCGGCUAACUACGUG
rnacentral:rRNA from 1 species